rnacentral:rRNA from 1 species
GCCCAGACUCCUACGGGAGGCAGCAGUGGGGAAUAUUGCACAAUGGGGGAAACCCUGAUGCAGCGACGCCGCGUGAAGGAAGAAGUAUUUCGGUAUGUAAACUUCUAUCAGCAGGGAAGAAAAUGACGGUACCUGACUAAGAAGCCCCGGCUAACUACGUGCCAGCAGCCGCGGUAAUACGUAGGGGGCAAGCGUUAUCCGGAUUUACUGGGUGUAAAGGGAGCGUAGGCGGUUUAGCAAGUCAGAAGUGAAAGCCCGGGGCUCAACUCCGGGACUGCUUUUGAAACUGUUGAACUAGAUUGCAGGAGAGGUAAGUGGAAUUCCUAGUGUAGCGGUGAAAUGCGUAGAUAUUAGGAAGAACACCAGUGGCGAAGGCGGCUUUCUGGACUGAAACUGACGCUGAGGCACGAAAGCGUGGGGAGCGAACAGGAUUAGAUACCCUCGUAU